rnacentral:rRNA from 1 species
UACGAAGGGGGCUAGCGUUGUUCGGAAUUACUGGGCGUAAAGCGCACGUAGGCGGGUCUGUAAGUCGGGGGUGAAAUCCCAGGGCUCAACCCUGGAACUGCCUUCUAGACUGCAGGCCUCGAGGUCAGGAGAGGCGAGUGGAAUUCCGAGUGUAGAGGUGAAAUUCGUAGAUAUUCGGUGGAACACCAGUGGCGAAGGCGACUCGCUGGACUGAUACUGACGCUGAGGCACGAAAGCGCGGGGAGCAAACAGG